AAUAUCACAUCUUAAGAAGAAUCAUAAGAAAAAUCGAGCUGAAAUAUACAUCACACUGCACAGGCGUUUAGCAGGACAUUCGCGAUUAAUUUAGCAACUGCAGCUCAUCACGGAACAAAUACUAAAUAUUUUAUUGUGCAUCGAGUCAAUCUAUCAGUAUUCGCAAUGCUUAAGAGUAACAAAAACAUCAAUUUUACUGCUAUGCAGUCUGAAAAACGUCUUGCAAGUAGUACCUGUCACAAAUUGCAGUGACAUUUAAACGCAUAUUUCUUUUGCGCAAGACGCACGAGAUCACGAGGAGAAAAUGCUGCUGGAAGCGAGGGCCACUAGCAAAACUUUGCUUUUUUCACGCAGAUAAAGGGCAAUUUUAUCAUCGCGGUAACAGAUUUGUGUCAAAAUUGAAACAAAAUAAGAUCAAGGCAGAAGGUGUCACGGGUAUCAGGGUCUCGCAAAGAAAACUAUCAACAUACUUGGCAUAAAACCCUGAAAUUAUUACAUCACUAAAGAACAAGCAAGGAAUCAAAAUAUCAAAUUGUGAUAUCAGAACUACGUGUAAAUGCUGCAUAAAAGAUAAAAUACCCAGGUACGUAUUCCAAAAAACAUCGUUAAGCACAACAGAAUCAAUAAUGGAAUUGGUGCACAUGGAUGUGUACAGUCCUAUGCAAACGAAAAUACCAGGUAAUAAACGCUACGUACAGUGUAACCUUAAUUACACGGGUCCAGUUCAUCUGGGAUGUGAAUUAAUCGGGCUUACUGCAAAAUAUUUUUUUAUUUUUAUUUUGAAGACUA